rnacentral:rRNA from 1 species
GAUGAACGCUGGCGGCGUGCUUAACACAUGCAAGUCGAACGAAGCACUUUACUUGAUCUCUUCGGAGUGAUUGUUUUGUGACUGAGUGGCGGACGGGUGAGUAACGCGUGGGUAACCUGCCUCACACAGGGGGAUAACGGUUGGAAACGGCUGCUAAUACCGCAUAAGCGCACAGUACCGCAUGGUACGGUGUGAAAAACUCCGGUGGUACAAGAUGGACCCGCGUCUGAUUAGCUGGUUGGUGAGGUAACGGCCCACCAAGGCGACGAUCAGUAGCCGGCCUGAGAGGGUGAACGGCCACAUUGGGACUGAGACACGGCCCAAACUCCUACGGGAGGCAGCAGUGGGGAAUAUUGGCACAAUGGGGGAAACCCCGAUGCAGCAACGCCGCGUGAGUGAAGAAGUAUUUCGGUAUGUAAAGCUCUAUCAGCAGGAAGAAAAUGACGGUACCUGACUAAGAAGCCCCGGNUAACUACGUGCCAGCAGCCGCGGU